UACGUAGGGCGCAAGCGUUAUCCGGAAUUAUUGGGCGUAAAGAGCUCGUAGGCGGUCUGUCGCGUCGGAUGUGAAAAUCCAGGGCUCAACCCUGGACCUGCAUUCGAUACGGGCAGACUAGAGUUCGGUAGGGGAGACGUGGAAUUCCUGGUGUAGCGGUGAAAUGCGCAGAUAUCAGGAGGAACACCGGUGGCGAAGGCGGGUCUCUGGGCCGAAACUGACGCUGAGGAGCGAAAGCGUGGGGAGCAAACAGG
rnacentral:rRNA from 1 species